UAUGGCGACCGGCGCACGGGUGAGUAACACGUAUCCAACCUGCCGAUGACUCGGGGAUAGCCUUUCGAAAGAAAGAUUAAUACCCGAUGGCAUAGUUCUUCCGCAUGGUAGAACUAUUAAAGAAUUUCGGUCAUCGAUGGGGAUGCGUUCCAUUAGAUAGUAGGCGGGGUAACGGCCCACCUAGUCAACGAUGGAUAGGGGUUCUGAGAGGAAGGUCCCCCACAUUGGAACUGAGACACGGUCCAA
rnacentral:rRNA from 1 species